rfam:Nocardiopsis sp. CNR-923 NODE_109_length_5289_cov_187.406_ID_211, whole genome shotgun sequence.
GCACGUAUCAACCGGACUUCUAAUCCGAUGGCCGCAGGUUCGAAUCCUGCCGGGUGCG